UACGAAGGGGGCGAGCGUUGUUCGGAUUUACUGGGCGUAAAGGGCGCGUAGGCGGCCUUCUAAGUCAGACGUGAAAUCCCCCGGCUUAACCUGGGAACUGCGUCUGAUACUGGAGGGCUUGAGUGCGGGAGAGGGAUGUGGAAUUCCAGGUGUAGCGGUGAAAUGCGUAGAUAUCUGGAGGAACACCGGUGGCGAAGGCGGCAUCCUGGACCGACACUGACGCUGAGGCGCGAAAGCUAGGGUAGCAAACGGG
rnacentral:rRNA from 1 species